rnacentral:lncRNA from 1 species
UCCUAUUAACGAUGGAGAACACUUGUUUCAUUAUAAAGUGGUCCAAGGAGACUUUGUGUGGAUUUUCUACUGGAUCUUAAAUGAGAACGAGGAAACGCAUUGCUCUUCAAUGACGAUGCAGGCAAGCGAUUCCUCAAAUUUGAAAAACAAGGAUGUUGGCACAUUUUGGAUUUCCCUCUGAGGAAGUGCAGAUUAUUGGCUCUUGGUCCUCCGGUGCUCAUAACCAGGCAACUGCCUGCAUAAAGAGAGAGAUUGUGUCAGUCCAACUGGUUGGGCUCCAUCACAUCCUGACACUUGAGUGUAAGUCUGUGUGACAGAGAGAGAGAAGAGAAAGAAAGAGAAGAGCGAGAGACAGAUAGAGAACGAGAGAGGAGAAGAGAGAG